rnacentral:rRNA from 1 species
GAUGAACGCUAGCGGCAGGCUUAAUACAUGCAAGUCGAACGGUAACAGGUCUUCGGACGCUGACGAGUGGCGCACGGGUGAGGAACACGUACACAAUCUACCUUAUACUGGAGAAUAGCCCCGGGAAACUGGGAUUAAUACUCCAUAGUCUUUAAUGAUCACAUGAGAAAUAAAGUAAAGCUUCGGCGGUAUAAGAUGAGUGUGCGUCCCAUUAGAUUGUUGGUAAGGUAACGGCUCACCAAGUCGACGAUGGGUAGCUGGCGUGAGAGCGCGACCAGCCACACUGGCACUGAGACACGGGCCAGACUCCUACGGGAGGCAGCAGUAGGGAAUAUUGGUCAAUGGACGAAAGUCUGAACCAGCCAUGCCGCGUGGAGGAUGACUGCCCUCUGGGUUGUAAACUCCUUUUAUAUGGGAAGAAACCUCUGGAUUCACUCCAGAGCUGACGGUAUCAUAUGAAUGAGCACCGGCUAACUCCGU